CAAAGCUCAUGACCAUAGGCUGUAUCCAGUCCCCCAGUGUGUAAACUAGUGAAGCUGAACAACCGCAGCAGCCCUUCCUGGAGGGGCAGCACAGCCAGAUCCUCCACGCCAGCACAGCGGACCUGCUCAGUCUCUACCAGCUGGAAAACUGCUCCAUAAUGCCACAGCAAGGCACCUGGGAGAACAUCACAGAAGACCCCUACAACCCAUGUUACAACACAGUGCAGUCA